GACGAACGCUGGCGGCGUGCUUAACACAUGCAAGUCGAACGGAAAGGCCCUGCUUUUGUGGGGCGCACGAGUGGCGAACGGGUGAGUAACACGCGAGUAACCCGCCCCUGACUUUGGGAUAACUCCAGGAAACUGGGGCUAAUACCGGAUAGGAGCUCCUGCUGCAUGGGGGGGGAUGGAAAGUUUCGGCGGUUGGGGAUGGUCUCGCGGCUUAUCGGCUUGUUGGUGGGGUAGGGGCUUACCAAGGCUUUGACGGGUAGCCGGCCUGGGAGGGUGGCCGGCCACAUUGGGCCUGAGAUACGGCCCAGAAUCCUACGGGAGGCAGCAGUGGGGAAUAUUGCGCAAUGGGCGGAAGCCUGAUGCAGCGACGCCGCGUGCGGGAUGACGGCCUUCGGGUUGUAAACCGCUUUCGCAUGUGACGAAGAGUGAGUGACGGUAAUGGGUAAGGAAGCACCGGCUAACUACGUG
rnacentral:rRNA from 1 species